GGAAAACAGUAGAACUAACAAGCCCAUAGUUUAGAACAGAUCAACUAUGUUAUAUCUUGCCCAUCAAUCUUCUAUAAACUAAUAAUAUUACAGUUCCCACUGGAUGCCAAAACUCGUCAACAAGUGCAUCAAGUUUCAAUUUUUCUUUUGUUGUCCUGCCAACAGGAAUGCAAAUAUAAUGUGCAGGAACAAGUUGAACCCUUCACAAGUUAAUCAAGUUUACUUUUAGAAUCAUGAGUCAAGCAAUCCACAUACUCGUGAAUCAAUUUGUGGCAUCCAUAGAAAAAAGUAUGCAAACUGUAUCACUAAACAAACUACCAAUAGAGUACUUCAAAUUCUAGACAUAUACCGCACCAGGA
rnacentral:misc_RNA from 1 species